GUAAGGAAUAUUGGUCAAUGGACGCAAGUCUGAACCAGCCAUGCCGCGUGAAGGAUGAAGGUCCUCUGGAUUGUAAACUUCUUUUGAAUGGGACGAAACCUCUUUUUCUAAAGAGACUGACGGUACCAUUAGAAUAAGCACCGGCUAACUCCGUGCCAGCAGCCGCGGUAAUACGGAGGGUGCAAGCGUUAUCCGGAUUCACUGGGUUUAAAGGGAGCGUAGGAGGGCAGGUAAGUCAGUGGUGAAAUCUUCGAGCUUAACUCGGAAACUGCCGUUGAUACUAUCUGUCUUGAAUACCGUGGAGAUGAGCGGAAUAUGUCAUGUAGCGGUGAAAUGCUUAGAUAUGACAUAGAACACCAAUUGCGAAGGCAGCUCGUUACACGAAUAUUGACUCUGAGGCUCGAAAGCGUGGGGAUCAAACAGGAUUAGAUACCCCAGUAGUCC
rnacentral:rRNA from 1 species